AGGCAUACGGCUCAGUAACGCGUAGUCAACCUACCCUAUGGACAAGAAUAAUCUCGGGAAACUGAGCAUAAUUCUUGAUAGAUCAUAAUGCCUGGAAUGGUUUAUGGUUAAAAUGAUUCGUCGCCAUAGGAUGGGACUGCGGCCUAUCAGCUUGUUGGUGAGGUAAUGGCCCACCAAGGCGAUAACAGGUACGGGCUCUGAGAGGAGAAGCCCGGGGAUGGGUACUGAGACAAGGACCCAGGCCCUAUGGGGCGCAGCAGGCGAGAAAACUUUGCAAUGUGCGAAAGCACGACAAGGUUAGUCCGAGUGGUUUCUGCUAAAGAGAUCUUUUGCUAGUUAUAAAACCACUAGUGAAUAAGGGGUGGGCAAAUUCUGGUGUCAGCCGCCGCGGUAAAACCAGCACCUCAAGUGGUCAGGAUGAUUAUUGGGCCUAAAGCAUCCGUAGCCGGCUCUGUAAGUUUUCGGUUAAAUCUAUGUGCUCAACGUAUGGGCUGCCGAAAAUACUGCAGAGAUAGGGAGUGGGAGAGGUAGACGGUACUCGGUAGGAAGGGGUAAAAUCCUUUGAUCUAUCGAUGACCACCUGUGGCGAAGGCGGUCUACCAGAACACGUUCGACGGUGAGGGAUGAAAGCUGGGGGGAGC
rnacentral:rRNA from 1 species